rnacentral:rRNA from 1 species
CCUACGGGAGGCUGCAGUGGGGAAUAUUGCGCAAUGGGCGAAAGCCUGACGCAGCGACGCCGCGUGAGGGAUGAAGGUCUUCGGAUCGUAAACCUCUGUCAGCAGGGAAGAACGGUCACUGUGCUAAUCAGCAGUGAAUUGACGGUACCUGCAAAGGAAGCACCGGCUAACUCCGUACCAGCAGCCGCGUUAAUACGGAGGGUGCGAGCGUUAAUCGGAAUUACUGGGCGUAAAGCGCUCGUAGGCGGGAUGUCAAGUCAAGGGUGAAAUCCCUGGGCUCAACGUGAGAACUGCCUUUGAAACUGGCAAACUGGAGUGUGUGAGAGGAUAGUGGAAUUCCAGGUGUAGGAGUGAAAUCCGUAGAUAUCUGGAAGAACAUCAGGGGCGAAGGCGACUAUCUGGCACAUAACUGACGCUGAGGAGCGAAAGCGUGGGUAGCAAACAGGAGUAGAUACCCGAGUAGUC